GACGAACGCUGGCGGCGUGCUUAACACAUGCAAGUCGAACGAUGAAGCCGGAGCUUGCUCCGGUGGAUUAGUGGCGAACGGGUGAGUAACACGUGAGCAAUCUGCCCUUGACUCUGGGAUAACUGCGGGAAACUGUAGCUAAUACCGGAUACGACACCUUGGGGCAUCCCAGGGUGUGGAAAGAAUUUCGGUCAAGGAUGAGCUCGCGGCCUAUCAGCUAGUUGGUGAGGUAAUGGCUCACCAAGGCGACGACGGGUAGCCGGCCUGAGAGGGGGACCGGCCACACUGGAAAUGAGACACGGUCCAGACUCCUACGGGAGGCAGCAGUGGGGAAUAUUGCACAAUGGGCGAAAGCCUGAUGCAGUAACGCCGCGUGAGGGAUGAAGGCCUUCGGGUUGUAAACCUCUUUUAGCAGGGAAGAAGCGAAAGUGACGGUACCUGCAGAAAAAGCACCGGCUAACUACGUGCCAGCCGCCGCAGUAA
rnacentral:rRNA from 1 species